rnacentral:rRNA from 1 species
AGUGAACGCUGGCGGUAGGCCUAACACAUGCAAGUCGAACGGCAGCACAGUAAGAGCUUGCUCUUACGGGUGGCGAGUGGCGGACGGGUGAGGAAUACAUCGGAAUCUACUUUUUCGUGGGGGAUAACGUAGGGAAACUUACGCUAAUACCGCAUACGACCUACGGGUGAAAGCAGGGGAUCUUCGGACCUUGCGCGAUUGAAUGAGCCGAUGUCGGAUUAGCUAGUUGGCGGGGUAAAGGCCCACCAAGGCGACGAUCCGUAGCUGGUCUGAGAGGAUGAUCAGCCACACUGGAACUGAGACACGGUCCAGACUACUACGGGAGGCAGCAGUGGGGAAUAUUGGACAAUGGGCGCAAGCAUGAUCCAGCCAUACCGCGUGGGUGAAGAAGGCCCUCGGGUUGUAAAGCCCUUUUGUUGGGAAAGAAAAGCAGCAGGUUAAUACCCCGCUGUUCUGACGGUACCCAAAGAAUAAGCACCGGCUAACUUCGUG